rnacentral:rRNA from 1 species
CGAACGAGAUUUUAUUAAUUGAUUACUUCGGUAUGAUUUUUCUAAAAUCGAGUGGCGGACGGGUGAGUAACACGUGGGUAACCUGCCCUUAAGUAGGGGAUAACAUUUGGAAACAGAUGCUAAUACCGUAUAAACCUCAGAAACACAUGUUUCUGAGUUGAAAGGCGGCUUUCGAGCUGUCGCUUUUGGAUGGACCCGCGGCGUAUUAGCUAGUUGGUGAGGUAAAGGCUCACCAAGGCAGUGAUACGUAGCCGACCUGAGAGGGUGAUCGGCCACAUUGGGACUGAGACACGGCCCAAACUCCUACGGGAGGCAGCAGUAGGGAAUCUUCCACAAUGGACGAAAGUCUGAUGGAGCAACGCCGCGUGAGUGAAGAAGGUUUUCGGAUCGUAAAACUCUGUUGUUGGAGAAGAACACGUUUGAGAGUAACUGUUCAGACGUUGACGGUAUCCAACCAGAAAGCCACGGCUAACUACGUGCCAGCAGCCGCGGUAAUACGUAGGUGGCAAGCGUUAUCCGGAUUUAUUGGGCGUAAAGCGAGCGCAGGCGGAAGAAUAAGUCUGAUGUGAAAGCCCUCGGCUUAACCGAGGAAUUGCAUCGGAAACUGUUUUUCUUGAGUGCAGAAGAGGAGAGUGGAACUCCAUGUGUAGCGGUGGAAUGCGUAGAUAUAUGGAAGAACACCAGUGGCGAAGGCGGCUCUCUGGU